rnacentral:rRNA from 1 species
AGAGUUUGAUCCUGGCUCAGAACGAACGUUAGCGGCGNNCUUAACACAUGCAAGUCGCACGAGAAAGGGCUUCGGCCCCAGUAAAGUGGCGCACGGGUGAGUAACACGUGGGUAAUCUUCCUCGGAGCGGGGGAUAACAUUCCGAAAGGAGUGCUAAUACCGCAUAAGACCACGUCCUCGAAAGAGGAUGAGGUUAAAGCAGGCCUCUUCAUGAAAGCUUGCACUCUGAGAUGAGCCCGCGGCCCAUCAGCUAGUUGGUAGGGUAAUGGCCUACCAAGGCUAAGACGGGUAGCUGGUCUGAGAGGAUGAUCAGCCACACUGGAACUGGGACACGGUCCAGACUCCUACGGGAGGCAGCAGUGGGGAAUCUUGCGCAAUGGGCGAAAGCCUGACGCAGCGACGCCGCGUGGGUGAUGAAGGCCUUCGGGUUGUAAAGCCCUGUGGGGAGAGACGAAUAAGUGUUGGCUAACAUCCAGCAUGAUGACGGUAUCUCCUUAGCAAGCACCGGCUAACUCUGUGCCAGCAGCCGCGGUAAGACAGAGGGUGCAAACGUUGUUCGGAAUUACUGGGCGUAAAGCGUGUGUAGGCGGCCAUGUAAGUCGGAUGUGAAAGCCCUGGGCUCAACUCAGGAAGUGCACUCGAUACUGCGUGGCUAGAGUACCGGAGAGGUUGGUGGAAUUCUCGGUGUAGAGGUGAAAUGCGCAGAUAUCAGGAAGAACACCCGUGGCGAAGGCGGUUCUCUGGGACGGUACUGACGCUGAGACGCGAAAGCGUGGGGAGCGAACAGGAUUAGAUACCCUAGUAGUCC